GUCAAACGUGGUAAUCGUGGAGGAAUCUUUUGGCUCCGUCAGUAGGUGGCUAAAAUCAAGUUGUCCCCCAGCCGCCAGAUGACGCGUGUGUCGCCGAGAGGACGACAUUUUCGCCAUUUUGUUCCGAAACGCCAAAUGAAAUGGUAUUCCAAAUUCGUUACGGAAUUGCGGUGUCGUUCUACAUUUUCAGCAUUGAAAUUUAAUGGUCUAGCAUAUAAUUUCCACUUGGUUGGUGGGGAACAAUCGAUCACGUGGGCUGAAAAAAUCUGCUUUCCAUUUUGCCAAAACGUCGUCCGUUGUUAGCUGUACGGAAGUACGUCUCAUCUCACGCAGAAACACUAUAGAGUUGGUGUUCAGGUUGGAGAUCCCGUUGCUUAACUGUUGCAGAAUGUGAGAACUCAACAAAGUCUGAGCUCCAUGGCUGUCAUCAUUACAGUGGUUUUGUUGCAGCCAGCUGGUGAAAGUAGGUGUGAUCGAGUCAAGUUGGGCUGCAGCUGCUGCAUGCAGUUUAUCGAGCUUGUGUUAUCCUGAAGUGUCAUUGCAGGAAGACUUUUUGAAAUGGACUUGGUGAUACUUAAACUAUGCCUGUGCUGUUCAAUGUGCAGUGGUUUUGCAGCCUGUUUCCAGUCGAGAGAUGUGAUUAUGCAGCUGAUAAAGGAUUACAGAAAAAGAACUGAAGUAGCUGUGCUGGUGAUCACCUGAAAUUGCUGUGCCAUAAGAGUUGCAGAUAGUGUUUGGUUCCUCAUAGAAGUCGAUAGAAGUUUAUUUAAAGAGUCUGGAGAUGAUCAGCCACUUCUGCCUUUUAAUUGUGUAAAACUUCAAAGUUGUAAGAAAUAUACAAGUCAGUGCUAAA
rnacentral:lncRNA from 1 species